UGGCAUAUCUCAAACUUUGCAAAAUUAUAAUGGCAUGGUUCUAAAUUACCCUAGUUUUUAAGUUGCUAAAACAUGUAUAUAAAA
rnacentral:sRNA from 1 species